CACGGGGUUGCGAGCGUUGUCCGGAAUUACUAGGCGUAAAGGGCAGGCAGGCGGAUCCAUAAGUUUAUCGUUUAAGGCGUCGGCUUAACCGGCGUAGGGCGGUAGAUACUGUGGAUCUGGAAUGCGGUUCGGGAAGACAGAAUUCCUGGUGUAGCGGUGGAAUGCGCAGAGAUCAGGAGGAAUACCGAAUGCGAAGGCAGUCUUCCAAGCCGUUAUUGACGCUCAACUGCGAAGGUGUGGGUAUCAAACAGGAUUAGAUACCCUGGUAGUCCCU
rnacentral:rRNA from 1 species